CAUGCAGUCACCCAGGUCAUAAAAUGCUGCAGUUCAAAGGACCACUACAGAGACACUACAGAUAUACUCACCACACUGUUGAGAGAGAGAGAGAGAGAGAGAGAGAGAGAGACUCUGAUAAAGUAGUCCCUGUCUCAACAACAUGCUGGAGAGACAUACAGAGGGGACGGACACAGGAUGUGAAGAGAGCAGGUGGCUGACAGUCUCACAGCAACAGAAAUGGGAGGCUGUGGAGGAUAUGACAAACAGCCCUCAUUCAGUCAGCAGACUAACUGGACAGCUCUACUGUACGCCACAGGGGACAGACCCUUGGCAGGCAGAGAGGUCGCUGAGCUCUGAGAACAACAGUUAGUUGGGUGGAUCUUCUUCACAGCUCUACUGUUAAGAGGCAGUGUCCAAAGUGUGGAGGAUGAUGUCACACGUCAGCUGUCCUCAUAGCUGGGCUACCAUGGCAACGACAUUCAUCAGAAUGACUUCCUGCAAAAGCAAAGCACUGUCACGAUCACUUUCUGUACUGACAGAUCACUUUAUAAGGAUAAUUAUUGUGUUUGUGUAAGGUAAAGCAUUGAAAUGCUAUGCCAAAUGAGUGGACUGUCUUUGUAAAUCUACUUGUCAUCCAUGUCACAACUGCUGCACAGAGUUUCUAAAUAAGCAAAGUGUCCUCCAAAAUCUUUGCUGCUGCCACGCAACCACUGCAUCCCUAUUGUCCGGCAGGGAAAGUCUUCCCCCAGAGGCUGGUUUCACAUGGUGGUUUAGAUUAAUGUUCCCAGUGUCUAGCACCAUUUGAAAUCAGUGUUCUUGGGGACAGGAGAACAGCACUGGGCCUCUGGUAGUGUCAGUCAGUCUAUUGGAGCCAUCCUCUCUCUCUCUCUCCCCUUUAAAGGAUGACUGAUUUCCUCUGGUGUUUAGAGCCCCUUAAAGCCUUCUAGCACCAUUUGAAAUCGGUUAUAAUGACUGGGGAUCAAUGCCUCAAUGUCUUCACGAUGUCUACAUGUCAACUCUACAGUCAAGCAGACAGGAAAUGAAUUGGAUGAAUGUUCAUAUUAUACGUGUCACAGGGUCUGCUCUACAGAUCCUGGAAUCGCAAUGAGUUGGACAGGAGCUCAAUUCCAGUGGGACAGUUUUAAAGUGUUUAUUGAAUAAAUGUUCAACUAAA
ensembl:lncRNA